UACGCGUCACCUUGCGACUGCCGUCCAGAUCUGUACCGCAAGACCUUCCGCCGCUGCAGUCGUUGCUCUUCCGCCGCUGCCCAGCCGUCUCAGCCGGUUCUGUCUCCGUCGAAGCCAAGGCCGCCGCGUGAACCAGUAACCGCCACGCUCCCCGCUCACAACUGCCGCUCCACCUGCUAUCGACGUCGGCCGACUAGUUGCUGUAACCGUUCAGAUUUGCUGUAACCUUUCAGAAUUGCUGUAACCAUUCAGAUUCGCGGUCUGUUUGCGACGGUCUCCAUCCGUGAAGCCCAGCCGCCACGUCUCAUUUGGCCGACCGCUGACCGCCCCACACUUAGGAUUUUGCCGCGAGUUCGACAGUCGUGCGUUGAGGUGUUGGGAGUAACAUUAGGCUCCCUUACAUUCACAACCAGAUUGUGAAUUGUUGAAGGUUCAGUUCGCCAUUAUAUCAGAUUGUUUCGAGGACGUUAGUGAUUAAGGAGCUUCCCUAACUUUGAGGCAAAGGAAAUAAAGGUGGCAAACCGGCGAGGGGCAGGAAGGAAGCGUGAUUGCCAUAGGAA